UACGUAGGGUGCAAGCGUUAAUCGGAAUUACUGGGCGUAAAGCGUGCGCAGGCGGCUUUGCAAGACAGAUGUGAAAUCCCCGGGCUCAACCUGGGAACUGCAUUUGUGACUGCAAGGCUAGAGUACGGUAGAGGGGGAUGGAAUUCCGCGUGUAGCAGUGAAGUGCGUAGAUAUGCGGAGGAACACCGAUGGCGAAGGCAAUCCCCUGGACCUGUACUGACGCUCAUGCACGAAAGCGUGGGGAGCAAACAGG
rnacentral:rRNA from 1 species